GGUAGGGCGCAGCUACACAUGCAAGUCGAGCGGUAACAGGGCGUGUGCUUGCACCCCGCUGACGAGCGGCGGACGGGUGAGUAAUGCAUAGGAAUCUACCCAGUAGUGGGGGAUAACCUGGGGAAACCCAGGCUAAUACCGCAUACGUCCUACGGGAGAAAGGGGGCUUUGGCUCCCGCUAUCGGAUGAGCCUAUGCCGGAUUAGCUGGUUGGUGAGGUAACGGCUCACCAAGGCGACGAUCCGUAGCUGGUCUGAGAGGAUGAUCAGCCACAUCGGGACUGAGACACGGCCCGAACUCCUACGGGAGGCAGCAGUGGGGAAUAUUGGACAAUGGGGGCAACCCUGAUCCAGCCAUGCCGCGUGUGUGAAGAAGGCCCUCGGGUUGUAAAGCACUUUCAGCGAGGAAGAACGCCUGGUGGUUAAUACCCGCCAGGAAAGACAUCACUCGCAGAAGAAGCACCGGCUAACUCCGUGCCAGCAGCCGCGGUAAUACGGAGGGUGCAAGCGUUAAUCGGAAUUACUGGGCGUAAAGCGCGCGUAGGUGGCUUGAUAAGCCGGUUGUGAAAGCCCCGGGCUCAACCUGGGAACGGCAUCCGGAACUAUCAGGCUAGAGUGCAGGAGAGGAAGGUAGAAUUCCCGGUGUAGCGGUGAAAUGCGUAGAGAUCGGGAGGAAUACCAGUGGCGAAGGCGGCCUUCUGGACUGACACUGACACUGAGGUGCGAAAGCGUGGGUAGCAAACAGGAUUAGAUACCCUGGUAGUCCACGCCGUAAACGAUGUCGACCAGCCGUUGGGUGCCUAGCGCACUUUGUGGCGAAGUUAACGCGAUAAGUCGACCGCCUGGGGAGUACGGCCGCAAGGUUAAAACUCAAUGAAUUGACGGGGGCCCGCACAAGCGGUGGAGCAUGUGGUUUAAUUCGAUGCAACGCGAAGAACCUUACCUACCCUUGACAUCCUGCGAACUUGUGAGAGAUCACUUGGUGCCUUCAGGAGCGCAGAGACAGUGCUGCAUGGCUGUCGUCAGCUCGUGUUGUGAAAUGUUGGUUAGUCCCGUACGAGCGCAACCCUGUCCUUAUUUGCAGCGAGUUAUGUCGGACUCUAAGAGACUGGCGUGACAACUGAGAGGUGGGGACGACGUCAGUCAUCAUGCCCUACGUAGGCUACACGUGCUACAUGGCGGUACAAGCGCGGCGACUCCGGGAUACGCAUUCUAGCCGUUCAAUCCGGAAUCCGAAUCUGCCAACUGG
rnacentral:rRNA from 1 species